CUCCUAGGGUGCACGUGGUCUCCCCGGAACUGCUGGCCUGCCAGGCAUGAAGGGUCACAGAGGUUUCAGUGGUCUGGAUGGUGCCAAGGGUGAGCCCGGUCCAGCUGGCCCCAAGGGUGAGCCUGGUAGCCCUGGUGAGAACGGCGCUCCUGGACAGAUGGUAAGUGAUCGAGGGAGGA